GGGUGCUAAAAACAUAUAUAGAUAUCUGCUGCAUAAAAAUAUAUGGCAUUAAUACAUGUGUAUGUCCAGUUUACAAAAGCAUAUCUAUGCUAUGUUUCUAGUUGAGAUCCACCAUGUUUUUGAUUAAAUCAAUUUAGUGUUAAUUUUAGAAAAUAAAUAUUUUUUUAUGAAGAUUAACAUUUAUAUUACAUUCAUACUUUGAGAUCUCUCCCUAUCAAAGAUUGUUGCUACUGAGCUCAAUAUAAAAAUGGAAAAAAAGAUAUACCUUUAUUGCCACAUUAAUGAAACCAAACUACAGAGGAGCAUUUUAAUUGAUAUUUUGCCCCUUUCAGGAAAGGCACCUUAUGCUCUUUAUGGCCUCACUAUCGUAUCGUUUAUUUUCCUGUCAUAUAUCUGUG